AUCCCUGGUCAGGUUCCUG
rnacentral:misc_RNA from 1 species